rnacentral:rRNA from 1 species
CUCAGGGAGGUAGUGACAAGAAAUAACAACACUGGAAAUUUUAUUUCUAGUGAUUGGAAUGAUGGGAAUUUAAACCCCUUUCAGAGUAACAAUUGGAGGGCAAGUCUGGUGCCAGCAGCCGCGGUAAUUCCAGCUCCAAUAGCGUAUAUUAAAGUUGUUGCAGUUAAAAAGCUCGUAGUUGGAUGUCUGCUGGAAGCAAUCAGUCCGCCCUAUUUGUAGGGUGUGCACUUGAUGAAUUCUGGCAUUUUUGUCCCAAUGAUGUAACGGAGCGGUGGUAUUCGGUGAAAGCCGAGUAUCCUGUUUUCCGAUUAUUGGGAUACUGUUACUUUGAGAAAAUUAGAGUGUUUGAAGCAGGCUAAUUGCCUUGAAUACUGCAGCAUGGAAUAACAAUAUAGGAUUUCGGUUCUAUUUUGUUGGUUUCUAGGACUGAAAUAAUGAUUAAUAGGGACAGUUGGGGGCAUUCGUAUUUAACUGUCAGAGGUGAAAUUCUUAGAUUUGUUAAAGACGAACUACUGCGAAAGCAUUUGCCAAAGAUGUUUUCAUUAAUCAAGAACGAAAGUUAGGGGCUCGAAGACGAUCAGAUACCGUCGUAGUCUUAACCAUAAACUAUGCCGACUAGGGAUAGGAAAAUGUCAUUUUGCUGACUU